rnacentral:rRNA from 1 species
GACAGAGGAGGCGAGCGUUAUCCGGAGUCAUUGGGCGUAAAGGGUACGUAGGCGGCUAGUCAAGUCUGAGGUUAAAGACCACAGCUUAACUGUGGAAAGGCCUUGGAAACUGACUGGCUAGAGUGGGGCAGGGGUUGCGGGAAUUCCCGGUGUAGCGGUGAAAUGCGUAGAGAUCGGGAAGAACACCUGAGGCGAAAGCGCGCAACUGGGCCCUGACUGACGAUGAGGUACGAAAGCUAGGGGAGCGAAUGGG